rfam:Myotis lucifugus cont2.49070, whole genome shotgun sequence.
GCCGGUUUGGCUCAGUGGAUAGAGUGUCAGCCUGCAGACUGAAGGGUCACGGGUUCGAUUCCGGUCAAGGGCA